rnacentral:lncRNA from 1 species
GCUGUUAUUAUUAGAAAUGUCCCAGGUGUAUGUCAGGAUAGUCCAGAGACAACCAAAAAAUGCCUCCUAGGAAUAUUCCUGUGACUUUGCCCAUGGAAAUUUGCAAAUAGGCCUAUAUGCCUGACCUUCACCCCUCACUCCAGACUGCUGAGGCAAGGGGAGCAAUAUAGAUCCAUAUCUUCUCUUUUUCAUUUUGGAUGGGUCUGGCUAUUCAGGAGAGAGUACAGAAAGAAAUGGGCUUGGCUAUAGCAAACACUUAAUAAAUACCUUUUCUUUCAUUCAUUUAUUCAUUUACUUAUUCAUCAAUUCACAGGACCAAUUUAUCAACUUAAAGUAGUUAUCUCUAGCCCCAAUACUAGCAAAAAAAGAAGAAACUCCAGAAUGAUUUUCAGUGGUUCAUGAGAUGAAACAAUGUCCCCCUGAAAAUGUAGUCAUAAUUUAAAUCUUGAUGGAUGCUUUCUUUCUGGUUGUGUAAAUAAGUUCCCCUUUCUUCCUUCCUUCCUUCCUUCCUUCCUUCCUUCUUUCUCUCUCUCUCUCUCUCUCCCUUCCCCUUCCUUCCUUCCUUCCUUCCUUCCUUCCUUCCUUCCUUCCUUCCUUCCUUUCUUCCUUCCUUCCUUCCUUCCUUCCUUCCUUCCUUCCUUCCUUCCUUCCUUCCUUCCUUCCUUCCUUCCUUCCUUUCCCUUCCCUUCCUCCCUGUUCAGGGAGGAGGUGGUACCCAAGUUGAACUUGAAGGGAAGACAAGAUAUUUAAGAAAGAAGGAGGUGAGAAGGGAGAGCACUCAAACCUUUGGUUCCCAGUUUCAAUAUUCCCUUAAAUGGUGGGUCCUCUUUAUAUUAAUUUAAUAAAUAGAUAUACAUCAAAUACCAUCUAGGUGUCCAAUGUGCUAGGGUCUAUGCUAUAUCCAGAAAAAGAAUAAAAUUCUCACUCUUGAGGAUUAUAGGAUCA